CUAACCCUGAGGAGGUUGGGAGGUUCAGAGGCUGAGCACUGUAGAAGCUUCUAGAAUCUAUCUCACAUUCCACAAGGCUGUGAUCGUUUUUUGAAGGCCCUCUCCUCUACAACCCAAGUGACUGCGGGCAGCACCGACCACCCAAAGGAAAGGCCAAGGAUGGACUUCACAGAGGAAGGCACCCAGGAUGCCUUCACAAAAUCCCCCCAAUGGGAUAGGCUGUUGGCCUAACAGCUUGCUGCAAAAGACGAGCCCAAACUCUGCAACUCAGUUCUGGAACCAGCAUGGGCAUCGGAGAGAAUCAAGGUGCAGUCAGCCAGGGUACAAAACUUCUGCCUCGGGACAAUACCCAUAUCCCAUGCCUCUGCCCAGCCUCCAAGUUCAGAUCUCUGACUCCUUCCCCUUUACCAGAUGGCCUAGCAGAUGCAAGGGCAGCAGCUCUAUUUACAUCAUCCCAACCCAACCAAGGAAACCAGCAGGUGAGCUGUCUCCCCUGGUAAAGCCACUUGCCACCGAGCCUGAUAAUUUGCAUUCAAUCUAUGGGCCUGGGAUGCACAGCCUAGGCCCCUGAGGGUAAGUAUCUGGCCACGUGGUCCCCAAAGGCUUCCCAAACUCUCUCCCAGCUCUGAGCCUGGCAGUCUUUCCCUGGUGGCUGAUUCUGGUGCUGACUGUCAGGAUUUCCCGGCUUAUCUGCAUGCUCUCUUCUGGUUUUCCUGCCUAGGCCUCUCUGGAAGGAGAGCUGUAGGGAGCAGUGGGUUCCUCAGGCCCAUGCCCCACCCAACCCUCCCUUCCUGGGAGGACCAUUUCCUGUUUGUGAGUCAGUACCAGACCACCAGGCUCCUCCUCCUCUUCAGCCAGGGGCAGAAGGACCAAAUGACAGGUUUAAAAUCUGCUCCGCAGACCCUGUUCUCUCCUGGCCAGUGGGCAAGCCCAUGGAUACACUCUGAAUCUGGUCUUCAGGGCUACAGCUUCCCCGAGGCUCCUCAGGGCCCCGCCCCAUGGCAGGUCAAGAGGAACAGAGACUGGCAAUCCAGGGUACCCAGCACCUCCAAGAUCCAGCAGUGGGCUUCACUUGCCAUAGGUGAUCACAGGACAGUCUGGAGAGCCUCUGUACAGAGGCUGCUAUUUCUGCCCAGAGAACCCAAACCCUUUGCCAAGUGAAUCCCCAUGCAAUUCUUCAGAGCUCGACUUGGCCACUUCUU
rnacentral:lncRNA from 1 species